rnacentral:misc_RNA from 1 species
UUUCCGUAGGUGAACCUGCGGAAGGAUCAUUAUUGUAUAACCGAGGUGCGAGCACUCUCCCUGAACUGACAGGUCGUGCACGCACGAGUGCACUAACACACAUCCUUCUCAACCAUAUGUGCACAACCGCGUAGGUACGCCUCUGGUACGUUUGGAGGGGGGCUUACCUUUUCAUAAAAACUUUGUAUGCAGUGUAGAACGUACUCUAUGUUUCUGUGUUCAUGCAAUUAAUUCAACUUUCAACAACGGCUCUCUUAGCUCCCGUAUCGAUGACGAACG